AGAGUUUGAUCCUGGCUCAGGAUAAACGCUGGCGGCGCACAUAAGACAUGCAAGUCGAACGGACUUAACCGUUAGUUUACUAAUGGAGCGGUUAGUGGCGGACUGGUGAGUAACACGUAAGCAACCUGCCUAUCAGAGGGGAACAACAGUUAGAAAUGACUGCUAAUACCGCAUAUGCCUUAGCAACACAUGUUGCAAAAAGGGAAAGGAGCAAUCCGCUGAUAGAUGGACUUGCGUCUGAUUAGAUAGUUGGUGGGGUAACGGCUUACCAAGUCGACGAUCAGUAGCCGGACUGAGAGGUUGAACGGCCACAUUGGGACUGAGAUACGGCCCAGACUCCGUACGGGAGGCA
rnacentral:rRNA from 1 species